UACAGAGGGGGCAAGCGUUGUUCGGAAUUAUUGGGCGUAAAGGGCGCGUAGGCGGUCGGAUAAGUCUUGUGUGAAAUCUUCGGGCUCAACUCGAAGUCUGCACAGGAAACUAUCUGGCUUGAGUGUGGGAGAGGUGAGUGGAAUUCCUGGUGUAGCGGUGAAAUGCGUAGAUAUCAGGAGGAACACCUGUGGCGAAAGCGGCUCACUGGACCACAACUGACGCUGAGGCGCGAAAGCUAGGGGAGCAAACAGG
rnacentral:rRNA from 1 species